UACGGGGGGGGCAAGCGUUGUUCGGAAUUACUGGGCGUAAAGGGCUCGUAGGCGGCCAACUAAGUCGGACGUGAAAUCCCUCGGCUUAACCGGGGAACUGCGUCCGAUACUGGAUGGCUAGAGGUUGGGAGAGGGAUGCGGAAUUCCAGGUGUAGCGGUGAAAUGCGUGGAUAUCUGGAGGAACACCGGUGGCGAAGGCGGCAUCCUGGACCAAUUCUGACGCUGAGGAGCGAAAGCCAGGGGAGCAAACGGG
rnacentral:rRNA from 1 species